rnacentral:SRP_RNA from 1 species
AAUUGCAGGCAAGGGUUGCCUUUCGAACCGAGUCAGGACAGAAAUGUAGCAGCUCUAAGAUUGAUUGACCUUGUGCUUGUGUACAUAG